ACUUCCCAUGUUCUGUUGCUGUUGCUGUUCUUGCUGCUGAGUUAACGCACUUGAAUACGUUAAAGCUUGAGGAACAACUGACGAGGUUGGAGUAGUGGGGAUGGGAACUGAAGAGGAAUAUGUUAAAGCUUCAGGAACAACUGAUGAGGUUGUAGUAGUUGUCAUGGGGAUGGGAACUGAAGAGGAAUAUGUUAAAGCUUGAUGAACAGCUGAUGAGGUUGGAGUAGUUGUCAUGGGGAUGGGAACUGAAGAGGAUGAUGACCUAUAUGAGUUUAAAGGCAGUACAGGAGAAACUAGUCUUCCAUUGACAGCUACAUUAGUUGCACUUGCAGGAGAAGCUGAAAAAGAUGGAGCUGGGUUAGAGAU
rnacentral:lncRNA from 1 species